rnacentral:tRNA from 1 species
UGCUCUGUGGUGCAAUGGAAAGCAUGUUGGACUUAAGCUGCAAUGGUAAAUGUGAGCCCAGCUAGACAUUUGAAGGUUGUGGGUUCAAAUCCCACCAGAGUCA